rnacentral:rRNA from 1 species
GUGGUUUAAUUCGAAGCAACGCGCAGAACCUUACCAGUCCUUGACAUGGGGAGUUUGGUUUCCGGAGACGGAUUCCUUCAGUUCGGCUGGCUCCCACACAGGUGCUGCAUGGCUGUCGUCAGCUCGUGUCGUGAGAUGUUCGGUUAAGUCCGGCAACGAGCGCAACCCACAUCCUUAGUUGCCAGCAGUUCGGCUGGGCACUCUAGGGAAACUGCCCGUGAUAAGCGGGAGGAAGGUGUGGAUGACGUCAAGUCCUCAUGGCCCUUACGGGUUGGGCUACACACGUGCUACAAUGGCGGCGACAGAGGGUUGCGAGCUCGCGAGAGCAAGCUAAUCCCCAAAAGCCGUCUCAGUUCGGAUUGUUCUCUGCAACUCGAGAGCAUGAAGGCGGAAUCGCUAGUAAUCGCGGAUCAGCAUGCCGCGGUGAAUACGUUCCCAGGCCUUGUACACACCGCCCGUCACACCAUGGGAGUUGGGUCUACCUGACGACGGUGCGCUAACCCUUCGGGGAGGCAGCCGGCCACGGUAGGCUCAGCGACUGGGGUGAAGUCGUAACAAGGUAGCCGUAUCGGAAGGUGCGGCUGGAUCACCUCCUU